AGAUGUUGAUUGUUGGCUGUUUUGUGGACGUCUUGUGUUGCUGUUUGUGUUGUUGUGUUGGGUUAGGUUAGGUUAGUUUGUGUUGAGAUGGAAGAGGAAGAUGUGGUUGGUUUGAUGAAGUGUUGUCUUGUGUUGCUGUUUGUGUUGUUGUGUUGAGUUAGGUUAGUGUUUGUGUUAAGAUGAAAGAGUAAGAUGAUGUUGGUUUGGUGAAGUGUUGUCUUGUGUUGCUGCUUGUGUUCUUAUUGUGUUAGUUUGUUAGUGUUAGUGGUGAAGUGUUACAAGGCUGUUAGUGUUAGUUGUGGAGAGUGUUACAAGGUUGUUAGUGUUAGUGGUGAAGAGUGUUGCAAGAUUGUUAGUGGUGAAGAGUGUUGAAGUUUUGUCCUCUGUUUCUGUCGUUGUUGUUAGUGGUGGUGGGUGUUGUGUUUAUGUUGUUAGUGUUAGUGGUGGAAAGUGUGUUGCCAUCGUUGUUGUGUUAUAGUGAUGGAGGGUGUUGUGUGUUGUGUUGCAGUGUUGUGGUUUGUAUUGUGGUGCUGGGGAAAGGUGUUGCAGUGUUAGGUUAGGUUAGGGGUGGAGGAUGUUGCAGUUCUUGUGUUCUUGGUUGUGUUAGUUUGUUAGUGAAGGCAGAAAAAAAAGAAAAUAAAGGACAAGAAACAUAAAAAGAAAAAGAGAGAAGUAGAAUAAAUAAACACAGAUAGAAAAAACAAAGUAAAAUAAGUAGGUUGUGUUGUGUUAGAAUUCUGGAUAUGUUGCAAAGAAUAAUAAGAAGGAUAGUUGUGAAGGAGAAAGGAAUCUUGUGUUACCAUAUACAUAGGAGAAAAAUAAAAAUAAAAUAAGUAGGUUGUGUUGUGUUAGAAGUCUGGAUAUGUUGCAGAGAAUAAUAAGAAGGAUAGUAACUGUUGUGAAGGAGAAAGGAAUCUUGUGUUACUACAUACAUAGGA